UUUUUUUUCAUGAGUUGACUC
rnacentral:piRNA from 1 species